GAUGAACGCUGGCGGCGUGCCUAAUACAUGCAAGUCGAGCGAACGGACGAGAAGCUUGCUUCUCUGAUGUUAGCGGCGGACGGGUGAGUAACACGUGGAUAACCUACCUAUAAGACUGUGAUAACUUCGGGAAACCGGAGCUAAUACCGGAUAAUAUUUUGAACCGCAUGGUUCAAAAGUGAAAGACGGUCUUGCUGUCACUUAUAGAUGGAUCCGCGCUGCAUUAGCUAGUUGGUAAGGUAACGGCUUACCAAGGCAACGAUGCAUAGCCGACCUGAGAGGGUGAUCGGCCACACUGGGACUGAGACACGGUCCAGACUCCUACGGGAGGCAGCAGUAGGGAAUCUUCCGCAAUGGGCGAAAGCCUGACGGAGCAACGCCGCGUGAGUGAUGAAGGUCUUCGGAUCGUAAAACUCUGUUAUUAGGGAAGAACAUAUGUGUAAGUAACUGUGCACAUCUUGACGGUACCUAAUCAGAAAGCCACGGCUAACUACGUG
rnacentral:rRNA from 1 species